rnacentral:rRNA from 1 species
UGGCGGAAUGCUUUACACAUGCAAGUCGAGCGGCAGCGCGGGGCAACCUGGCGGCGAGCGGCGAACGGGUGAGUAAUACAUCGGAACAUGUCCAUAUCGUGGGGGAUAGCCCGGCGAAAGCCGGAUUAAUACCGCAUACGCCCGAGAGGGGAAAGCGGGGGACUCGCAAGGGCCUCGCGCGAUUGGGUUGGCCGAUGUCCGAUUAGCUAGUUGGUGAGGUAAAGGCUCACCAAGGCGAUGAUCGGUAGCUGGUCUGAGAGGAUGAUCAGCCACACUGGGACUGAGACACGGCCCAGACUCCUACGGGAGGCAGCAGUGGGGAAUUUUGGACAAUGGGGGCAACCCUGAUCCAGCCAUUCCGCGUGAGUGAAGAAGGCCUUCGGGUUGUAAAGCUCUUUUGUCCGGAACGAAACGGUUAGCGUGAAUAUCGCUGACUACUGACGGUACCGGAAGAAUAAGCACCGGCUAACUACGUGCCAGCAGCCGCGGUAAUACGUAGGGUGCGAGCGUUAAUCGGAAUUACUGGGCGUAAAGGGUGCGCAGGCGGUUUUGUAAGCCAGAUGUGAAAGCCCCGGGCUUAACCUGGGAAUGGCAUUUGGGACUGCAAGGCUAGAGUGUGGCAGAGGAGACUGGAAUUCCUGGUGUAGCAGUGAAAUGCGUAGAUAUCAGGAGGAAUACCGAUGGCGAAGGCAGGUCUCUGGGUUAACACUGACGCUCAUGCACGAAAGCGUGGGGAGCA